UUCUAUCAGUGUUUUUCCCCCAAAUCGAUUUCUAGCAUUAUUCUCUUUCUCUCUGCGUCUAACAAUUUAAGAUCAGAGCAAUGGAGUUUUCAGACGGAGAAACCAGACCUUUUAGAUUAUUCAAAGGUACGAAGUACCAACAAAACCCUAAAAUUGUUGCUCCAGCAAAUGAAGAGGAUGAAAAACAAUGGUAGAUCAAAUCGGGGAUAAGAAACGUGGUUUAAUUGAAAACAACUCCAAACCAGAUGAAGGAAAAGAAAAACCGUGGAUUUCAAUUGAAGGAUAUUCGUCGAUCGCUUUCAAUUAUCAAUUCACAUUGAGGAAGAAGAAGAAUGGACAAAUAAGGAGGGCAGAUAUUAGGUAGGGAUGAGUUGAAAGAUGAUGAAUUUUCCUUGAAAAUGUUCUUCAAAGGUGUAUCUACCCUUAAGCAGGUGAUUUGGGGUCUGGGUUUUCAGAGGAAACUUGAUUUUCCUGUAGAGGAAUCAGUUGCUCAAUAUUUUCCUUUAACGGAUGGUAUGGUGGAGGCAUUGGACAACAAGAUUCGUCCUGCCGUUGCUUUUACAGCUUCUGAGAUUUUUUAUGAUCAAUUCCUUCAAUGGGAUCAGACAAUGUCUCGAGGAAGAGACCCCCCCCCC